CAACCAGCAACAAAGGCCCUCUAACAACUUGUAAUCAACCGACCGUCCCUAGAGCAAGUGGCAAAAGGUUUGGUAGUUGGUAACCGAGACCUAAGUUCAAAUCCUAGUUGAUUCACAUUUUCAGCUAAGCUUAUUUCUAAAUGAAAUAAACGAAGCGGAUAGCGUGCUGCCUAUCUCUCCCUCUCAAAAAAAAAAACAAAACAAAACAAAAAAAAAAAAACAACUUGUAAUCA
rnacentral:lncRNA from 1 species